UAAUUUUAUUUUGAACGGUGUGAGUGGCUGCCCCAACUAGUCUAUCUGUGUGUUGAGAACUGGUAAUAGUGUCACUUACAGCUGCUGCCAACUGCAACUGGGGUUGUCUGAAGACUGAGUUAUGUGUGCUUAGAAGACUGUGCCUGGUGCUUAGAACACUGCUUGUCCCAUGUCCCUCUACCGAUUUUGUUCUGAUAAAUGGCUUACUGCAAGCUACCACCUUCUCCAUAAUACUUAGGAAAGGCGAGCGGCGCUUGGGACACUCGGCCGGCGGAAGUGGAGGAGUGGAACGCGCAUCUGGAGACUUCUACCCCUGCUC